rnacentral:lncRNA from 1 species
CCAUUUCCUCCCCUACAAUUCCAUAUUAUUAAAUUCAUGGAUAUGUUCAGUUGGAGUGGUGUUAUCAUCGAAAUGUUCCUCAUGGAUUCUAACGGAACUUCCUUGUUUCUCAUUGUUGACGAAGUGUUCCUCAUGGAUUCUAACGGAGCUUCCUUGUUUCUCAUUAUUGACUUCAUUAUCAACACAUAACUCUCUCUAUGAGAUGUAAGGGCUUCUGAUAUCUAUUAAGCCUUUUAAUGGAUUUGAUGACAAAUAGGGAUGCAUUUCUUUUCGAAUUUUUCCUUGAAUAUUAUAUUAUUACUUUUAUCUCUUUUAACACAACUAUUUCGCUUCUUGUCUCUCGCAUUAGUUCGAGUUUUUUCUACUUUCUGUUCAUCGGUAUCAACGAUACUAGUUUUACAUGGGGUGUUAUCGAGGGUCGUCGUUCUUGUUGCUCUAUGUUGGUCUUCUUAUCUGCUGUCUCCAUUUAGUGAAGGUUAUUGUUUGCCAAGGCACUUCAUCCUCUCCGAUGCUCAAUUGACUCAUGCUUUUGUCUUCUUCUCUGUCCUUGUCUCUAUUUGGUUGCUCUUGAGGUGGCUGUUUGCUUAUACAAUUCUGUACUGUGUGCCCAAAGUACCCCACAACCGGUGCAUAAUAUAUCUGCUCCUUCAUACAGGGGGGAGCCAGACUUCUGUUUGGGGGUUCGUCCGAACCCCCUUCGGCGAAAAAUAUUACUAUUUAUACAUGGUUAAAUUUUUUAUAUAUAUAUAUAUAGUAGAUGUUGAAUCCCUUUGGUUAGCUCAUGUGUUUAGUUUAUCAGAUUUUGAACCCCCUUUGGUUAGUUCGUGUGUUUAAUUCUUUCGAUUUUGAACCCCUUAUUAAAAAUCCUAACUUCGCCACUGCCUUCAUAUACAAUGGGUUGUCUAUGGUAUCCUAUGUAAAUGAACUUCUUGACCGGGAUACCAAUGGGGACUUCGACCCAUAUACGUGCAUAUCGUCCUCGUAGAGUGGCCGAAGUGCAUACAUCUGUUUUAACCAAUUUGCCAAGUUUUUUACCUACUUUUGCUAAAAUUGAGUGGUCGUAGAACUCCGUGGGUAGUUCUGGAAGUCUAAUCCAUAUAGCAGAGUAUGUUUCCAUGGCUUCAGAGGCGACGAAAUUGGGGUGCCACCUUUUAACUGAUAGAAAAUAUCCGUUAAUAAACCAAGGACCAUGUUGUAGUGUUCUUUGUAAGCUUUCUUCUUUGUAGAAUUUAACAAUGUAAUAGUCAUGUCCCAGAUCAAUUAAUACAAUAUCCUCUGAAACUCUCUACAAAUUGGCUAGUUUCCUUUUUAGAUAUUAAUGACUGAUUCUUUUUCCAAAGAUAUUUUUGAUGAUGAUUGAGUAUGUCCAAGGUUGAUAGAUUCUUUUUUUCUCUUCAUCUGUCAAACAUAUCAUCUUGCUCUGUUUCUGCCAAUUUAUCCUGAAGGAUUCCUUUUCCUUUGUUAAUUGAUGUGUUAGGAUGAUCAAUAAGCAUAUCCACUUCAAGAUUUGGUCCUUUUGGGAUUUGUUGUGCUUCAAUCGGUGGAUAUAGUGUGAUAAGUUUUUCUUUGAAAUUGGCUUUCUCUUCCUCUGUAGUUUAUGUCACAGUAUCCAUAAUUGUAUCAGCAAUGAUUUCAGUGUCGGGUGGCGCAGGUGGAUGUAAAUUUUCUUGGCAAUAGUUCAUAUUUUGGUUAUGAUAGAAUUUGGGUUUUUCUAGUGAGAAGUUAGACCUACUCUCUCUAAAGUAUUACGGAUUAUGUGCUUGGAUUAUGAUUAAUAGUCAAUAAUAUUUGAAGAGUUUAGGAUAUAAAUUAUUUCUUCAACACUCACAAGAUGUAUAUUUGAUGUAUUUGAUAUAAUAGUUAUAUUUACAACUUGACAGUUUUAGUGAUGAUUAGUUUUUUAAACUGCUAAUACGAUGAUUAGGCUAUAAGCCUUCGUAAUUUUUUUUUAAUGUAAUUUCAUGAAGUAGUGUCACUUGAAAUAUUGUGACUUUUCAUGAAAAGAAGUAUUUGUUGUAAGAUAAAUUUUGCAUAGACAUGACCUUUCAUACAUAGAUGAAUUGGUGUGCUGGUCUAUAAAUAGUGAAUCUUCUAAUGAUGAUAAAAUUCAUAUAAGUUGGAUUUGAAACAUGUAUGAAGGUGUCAUAAGUUUUGUAUCAAAACAGGCUUGAAUUCCAUAGUGGAAUUAUAAGAAUAUAUUUAACAUAUAAAUGCUUGAAAAGAAAUGGAAUGGUUGAGAAAAUAUGAUUUUGAAAUGUUAUGGCCACUACUGAUGCAACAAUUCUAAGUUAUUGAGAUAAUGAUGAUAUCUAUGAUAUGCCUAAGUAAAAGAUUUGUUUAUGAUUUAUAUAAAUCUUGUAAAUCUAGUUUCAAAAGAUGCAGUGUAAUAAGUGUGUGAAUGAAUAAGGCUAAAAUCCUUAAAAUAAACAUAAGUGAUGGGAACCCAACUUUGAGUUAGUAUACACUUUGACAAUACAAGUUCAGCGGGUAAUAACAAGUUACUUUGUGUUGCUAAAGCACGAGUUUUCUUUUUAGAGCAUUGAUUCAAGUGUACUGCAUACUGUUAUGUGAGAAAUUGAGGAGUUGUUAAAUGCUUAAAAUAACAGGGGCAUAGUGACAAACUCCAUAGUGCAGACUGUUACACGGAGGUUGAGUUAAUUAUUAAUAAAAUUAGUAAAUGUGGGACAUAGUAGUUAAUUUCACCUAUAUGUAUAUUGAAGUGGUGUCGCUUCAAGCAAGAUCUAAAGGGUUGAUUUUGUAAAUAUUCAUGAAAUCAAGAUGAGCACAUGGUCAUAAUCGUGUUAAAGCAAAUACAAGGGUUUCUAAGCUAUAAAUAAUAUUGUGUGAUAUUUUUGAUUUUGGGAGUUGUGGUCAAAUCUUUUAAGAUACCAAUUAUUUCGUCAGAACUUUAAAGUACUUGCACUAAUAGAAAGUUCAAAUCUAUUAUAAGAUACUCUUUGUAUGCAUGAUAUUAUGAGAAACAUUAUAAACUAGUGGAGGGAUUGUUGGAUAUUUUGUAAUAUAUAGAGGUCUUAAAUUGAACAGGCAUAUUUUUUUGUGAAAGAACAUGACUGUUAUGAAAAGUUAUUUGUUCAGAACAUGAUUUUUAUGAAAAGUCAUAUGUUCAUGAAAGAACAUGACUCUUAUGAAGAGUCAUCUCUUAAGUACUAUAAAUAUAAAGACUCUCUAGAAGUAGCCUAAGAAAAAUCUGCAUGUAUAAACAAAGGGCUUUGUUGUAUCCUUGAAGAGAAUUGUUUGUAUUUACCCCAAUAUGAACAUGGGCAAUAUCUCUUUCAAGAAAGUGAUUACACACCUCAAAACCAUCGUCUUCUUACUUUUUCUUUUUGAUGAAUUUUUGGACCAGGGGUCCAUUUAUUUCAUCUGAAAAAUCCUUACAUCAUAUGACAAAAUAAGCCCAAAUAAGCAAGAGAAAGAUGGCCCAAAAUAGGAAGUAAAAGACUAAGAGUAGGAUUUCCUAAAAGAGUUCUCCUCUAUUCCACCACCUCCAUAUUUCUUGUUCCUUUUUCUUUGUUUUUUAUUCUUCUCCACCUCUGGGUCAUCAAUAUUCUGCAUCCAUGGAUAGUGAGGUGAUAUAACAGCUCACAAAGGUAUUCACUUUAUUUUCUGUGCUUCUCCCAGCUAGUUUCCCUGUUAACUUUCCCCUUCUUGUAGAUGUGCAUCCCGGUGGAGGUGUUUGGAAAUCUCGCAUAACUUUUUGUUGGGAUUGAACCAUGACGCUCCUUCUAAAGGCUUUGAGGAUAUCGGCCUGCUGAAUCGAGUAUGUGCUCCAUUGACCUGGUUUGAGAUCCCCCCUCCCUCCCUUGUGCUGAUCUUUUUUUGUAAGUUGAAGUAGCGCUAACGUAGCUAGAUCGUCUCUUAGAAGACAGAACCUGUAAAUAUUGUAGCUGAAUGGUUCUGGUUUGUAGAUAUUCUCGCUUAUCAUGAUGGAUUGAUUCUCUUUGCUUUAAUUCUCAAUGAUGGAAUGUGUUGUUUUUUUAUGUUGAGAAUUCUUCUUCCAAUGCUUGGUAGAUCAUAGAAGUUAUUUACUUGUAUUUGGUCUGCUUGAUUUAGGGCCAUGUUUGCCAGAUAAUCUGCUAAUUGAUUAGCUUCCCGAAAUAUGUGCUUUACCUGAACUUGCUUCCUUGCUAUGCUUUGCUGUAUAUUCUCUAUAUUUUCAGCAUGUAACCAAGGAAUCCUCCAUUGUUUAACCAACACAUUUGUAAGUACUAAUGAGUAUGUCUCCAGAAUUAUCUUUUGAAAGUUUUGUGUUUCGCAAUAUUGCAUUGCUUUUAACACACCCAUAAUUUCAGCUUCCAUAUUGGUGGCUUCCCCUAUCUUCUGUGCCUCCGCAUAUAUUAAAUCUCCCCUGCUAUUUCGUAUGAUAAAUCCAUAAGAGCUCUGUCCAGGAUUUUCUUUACAUGCACCAUCUGUAUUGGAUUUCACCCAUUCCUGAUCUGGUUUCUCCCAAUAAACUAUUCUAUAAUAUAGUGUAGGUUUAUAUGCACUAGAGUGGUGAGCAUCUCCCUCUAAUUCUGAAUCCUUCCUCUUAUCCACGGAUACUUCACUCUAAUGAACCAUUGAACAAUUUGUAGACAUUGCCCUAAUAACCUCGCAUAUGUAACAUUUUUUCCAUGCCUUCUAGCAUUUCUCCUUUUCCACAGCUCCUAAAUAAUAAUUGUUGGUAUGGCUUUAAAAAAUUGUUUAACCUUGUACUGUCCUGGCCAAUCCCACCAGAUAGUAAUCAAUUGUUGUAAUUGAACUCCUUCAAUGCUAAUACCUGCACAUGAAGCAAAAUGCUUCCAUAGCUUUUGGGCUAUGGGAGCUGUUAGAAAUAAGUGUUGCAUUGUUUCCUCCUUCCCCUCAUUGCAGCAGUAGCAUUUCAAUACCACAUGUACCCUCAUCCUUUUAAGAACAUCAUCCGUGGGGAUUCUCUGUCUCCAUAUUCUCCAGAAAAAGAAAGAGAUUUUAAAUGGUAAUCCCCCAAUCCAGAUAUUAUUCAUCCAUUCAAAUUCUUCCAUUUUCUGUCUUGUUACAUGAAAUGAUGAUCUCACAGUAAAUUCUCCAUGUAAAUUACCCAUCCACCAGGCCUUAUCUUGAGUACCCACACUCAAUUUAGGACCGAUACUAUCCACAAUGCAUUCUACCAUAUCUUGAGACAAUAAUUGUUGUAGUCUUGCUAUGUCCCAUUGCCCAUUCUGAAUCAACUCUUUGGCCUCCACUUCUUCCUCUACUCCUUGUGGUUCUAUAUAAUAAAGAGCACCUUGUUUUGUCCUAUUGUCCAUCCAGAAACUAGCAUUCCCUUCCUUCUGCUGCCACCAAAUUUCAUGCUCCACAUCUUCCCUGACCCGUAUCAUUUUUCUCCAUACCUGAGAUGCACCUCUGUUAUGCGCCAUUAUGGGAUGGUGUUUUUUACAAUACUUGUUCCACAUAAAUGUGCUCCAUAAAGAUGUCUGAGUUCUAAACAUCCACCACAAUUUAGCAAAGAGAGCAUUAGAUAUAUCAAAGAGCGAUUUGAAACCCAUCCCCCCUUCCCUCUUUGGAUAGCACAUAUCAAUCCAUGUAACCCAAUGUUUACCUUUCACCUCUGUAUAAUUCUCCCAAAAGAAUUUAGCAAAGAGCUGGUGAAUUUGUUCUAUAACCCGUUUUGGUGGAGACAUAGUUGAUAGCAUGUAAAUAGGUAUGGACUGUAGUACAUGAUUUAUCAAAAUGUAUUUUCCACCAAAGGAUAAGAAUCUGUUUUGCCAAGAGAAGAUUCUGGCAACAACCUUCUUGAUUAACCCUUCAAUUUUUAUUUUAUUUUUCUUACUAUUUUUUUCUAACACCUUGAAAUAAGGCUUGAAGUUGAAGAAGCCUAGCUUCUUCUUUGAGAGAACUCAGAACAUGCAAAUUUGAUUUGUUUGAGGGUUGAGCGUGAAUAGGGAGAUUAUUAGGAUAUGAGAUAGAAUUUUUUUAUUUUAUUUUUAUUUUUUUAAAAGGUAUUUUAGUAUACCUAUAUUAACCAGUGAUUUUCUCGGGUACCAGCCUUGAACCCUUGACGUAGUGGUCACAAGAAAACUCCUUAAUAACCAAUCAACCCGUGUGACAAAGCAGGCUGAAAAUAUGAGAUAGAAUUAGGGAAGUUAAUUGAGGGUAAAAGUUCAAGAAUAGUACUCUUCUGGAAACGUAAGAGGACCAUAAAAAUAAAAAAUGACCUUUCAAUGAAUUUCGUCGACCAAAUCGGUGAUCUGGAGAUUUCCUCACCGAAAUAGUUGGCGAGUCGCCCAAUUGGAAUUUAGAUCGCCCAAAUAGACCGAGACUUAAGAUUUUCGAGACAUUUAGGCAAGCUAAUUCGGCGAUUCACCAAUUGAGCAUGUGACCUUGCCGAAUUUCUCAGUCCGGGUAUAUUCCAGUAAAACAAUCAUAACCUUUUUCUCCAAACGCGUAAUAAUGCAAACUUGGUGUCAUUGGAAAGAAAACUCAUAGAGCUUUAAUUUGAUAGAUCAUAUGCCCCCUAAUUCAUCAUGUGUUAAGAGAUAUGAUCGCUUGAAGUUGACCUAAGUAGAAUAUUAUAUCAAAACUCGAUCGGUAAGGAAGCUUUCAACUCAAAUUUGUGCUAGGGUAUUUUAGUGACCUUGAUUCAUAUCCAAAUUCAUUCCCACACUAAAGGAAUGAACUCAUUGCCUAAGAACAAUUUAAGAAUCACCUGCUACGAUCUUAUAUGCAAAUGAAGAAUGACUCGGGUCUUACUUAGAAAUUUCGGGGUGUUACACUAAACUUACAUAUACCCAAUAUGCCACAUCACAUAGCAAGUAGUCUCAAAUUCUUGUAGAAGUAUGAUAUUUUUAAUAAAAAUCGAUAGAAGUGUUGAAGACAUCCUUAAACUUGAAGAAAAUUACAGGUGUAUUUCACUAAUGUUGCAAGAUCAGAGGUGUAUUUAAGUUCACUUAGUCAAGUAAAAUUGUGUUUUUAAGGUUGUCAAUAGUUUAAACAUGAAACAAAUAAUUCACGCUAAGUUCUGAAGCGUUUGCAAUACUUCUCUUAAUUUUAAAUAGUACAAGAACAAAUUUGAUAAUUAUUUUCCUUUUUUAUCCUUUUCAGUUGCUAAUUAUCAAGAAGUUCAGUAUCGAUAGUAAAUUUGAUCGCUCCAUGUUUAUUUAAUAUUCUAUGUUUAUCUAAUCGAGAAUUGGAGAAGAUAUUAUGAUAAAGUUAAAUCUUUUUUUUCUCUAUAGGAAAUUAGAAGGGCUUCAUCAAAUAAAUAAGCAUAUAUUAAUUAGGUACGCCGAAAUGAAGGAGAAUAUAUGCAGCAGCAAUUCUUCAAGGGUAUAGGGGUGG